rnacentral:sRNA from 1 species
GAGUUCGGAGGGCGAGCGAUCCCGGGGGCCUCUCGGGAGCUCCCCGGGGCCGCGCCGAGGGGACAGGUGAGCAAGGCAGUCCUCUCGGGGACCCAGACCGGAAAGGCGGCGCUCCUGGGAAUCAACAAGUCGUCCUGGACAGGUGACACACACCCCAGGGCAUUUCCUGGCUGCCAGUUCGGCCCCGCCCCGCUGCACAGCGGCUGGGCGGGGAGGCCACCGCUGGGACGUCGGCUGGCCGGCGCCACCCGGCCCUCUGGGAGUUGAGCGAGAGCAGAGAAAAGUUGAAAAGACCGACAAAAACUGUGGGAAGUUGGCUUUUAUCCACACUAGGGACGGUCCCAGGAACGAGGAACUAGUUUGUGAAUGGCUCAGAGAAAAGCAAACCGAUGUCCAGGGGUCUUGUGCAGGACCUGAAAGUAUUUUCUUCCAUUUGUGUGUGAUGAUUGUUCAGGAAUAUUUUGGUGACUGUAAUCAAUGAGAGACUGAAGACAGAUCAACAUACAUCUUACCCAUGCUCUUUCAAAGACUGUGCUGAGAGAGAACUUGUGGCAGUUAUAUGUCCUUACUGUGAGAAGAAUUUUUGCCUGAG